rnacentral:lncRNA from 1 species
UCGUUCUCAGGACACGACGGAUGAGCUAGACGUUGGGAUCGCUAAACCUCUGGGUGACCAGAGGGGCGUCGGACAUCGCUCAGGUGGGACCAACACUCAUGAGGAGCACUGGCCCGGGGGUUGAUUAAAUUACUCCGCGGGUGCCGGCGGGUCCCUAUGCAUUAUUAUUAGGUUAUUAGGCAAAUGUAGUACCAAAGUUGGGCCUUGCCAGACCAGCUUUAAUCUAAAACGAAUUAUCAAGGGGGUCCCCAUAACAACCCUGAUCGUGUUAGGAGCGCUCAAUUAUGGAACAUAACACCGG